AGUGAACGCUGGCGGUAGGCCUAACACAUGCAAGUCGAACGGCAGCACAGUAAGAGCUUGCUCUUACGGGUGGCGAGUGGCGGACGGGUGAGGAAUACAUCGGAAUCUACUUUUUCGUGGGGGAUAACGUAGGGAAACUUACGCUAAUACCGCAUACGACCUACGGGUGAAAGCAGGGGAUCUUCGGACCUUGCGCGAUUGAAUGAGCCGAUGUCGGAUUAGCUAGUUGGCGGGGUAAAGGCCCACCAAGGCGACGAUCCGUAGCUGGUCUGAGAGGAUGAUCAGCCCCACUGGAACUGAGACACGGUCCAGACUCCUACGGGAGGCAGCAGUGGGGAAUAUUGGACAAUGGGCGCAAGCCUGAUCCAGCCAUACCGCGUGGGUGAAGAAGGCCUUCGGGUUUUAAAGCCCUUUUGUUGGGAAAGAAAAGCAGCAGGUUAAUACCCCGCUGUUCUGACGGUACCCAAAGAAUAAGCACCGGCUAACUUCGUG
rnacentral:rRNA from 1 species